CCUACGGGCGGCAGCAGUGAGGAAUAUUGGUCAAUGGGCGCGAGACUGAACCAGCCAAGUAGCGUGAAGGAUGACUGCCCUACGGGUUGUAAACUUCUUUUAUAAAGGAAUAAAGUGAGGCACGUGUGCCUUUUUGUAUGUACUUUAUGAAUAAGGAUCGGCUAACUCCGUGCCAGCAGCCGCGGUAAUACGGAGGAUCCGAGCGUUAUCCGGAUUUAUUGGGUUUAAAGGGAGCGUAGAUGGGUUGUUAAGUCAGUUGUGAAAGUUUGCGGCUCAACCGUAAAAUUGCAAUUGAUACUGGCAGUCUUGAGUACAGUUGAGGUAGGCGAAAUUCGUGGUGUAGCGGUGAAAUGCUUAGAUAUCACGAAGAACUCCGAUUGCGAAGGCAGCUUACUAAACUGCCACUGACAUUGAUGCUCGAAAGUGUGGGUAUCAAACAGGAUUAGAUACCCCUGUAGUC
rnacentral:rRNA from 1 species